UCCCUGGUGGCUCAGUUGAUAAAGAGUCUGCCUGCAAUGCAGGAGACCUGGGUUCAAUCCCUGGGUUGGGAA
rnacentral:tRNA from 1 species